AUUGAACGCUGGCGGCAGGCCUAACACAUGCAAGUCGAAUGGUAACAGGAAACAGCUUGCUGUUUCGCUGACGAGUGGCGGACGGGUGAGUAAUGUCUGGGAAACUGCCUGAUGGAGGGGGAUAACUACUGGAAACGGUAGCUAAUACCGCAUAACGUCGCAAGACCAAAGAGGGGGACCUUCGGGCCUCUUGCCAUCAGAUGUGCCCAGAUGGGAUUAGCUAGUAGGUGGGGUAACGGCUCACCUAGGCGACGAUCCCUAGCUGGUCUGAGAGGAUGACCAGCCACACUGGAACUGAGACACGGUCCAGACGCCUACGGGAGGCAGCAGUGGGGAAUAUUGCACAAUGGGCGCAAGCCUGAUGCAGCCAGGCCGCGUGUAUGAAGAAGGCCUUCGGGUUGUAAAGUACUUUCAGCGGGGAGGAAGGGAGUAAAGUUAAUACCUUUGCUCAUUGACGUUACCCGCAGAAGAAGCACCGGCUAACUCCGU
rnacentral:rRNA from 1 species